CACAGGAGACCCCCUCCUCUCUGCCCUGCCCCUGCCAUGAGCAUCAGCCUCCUCUGCUGUGUGGCCACCUGUCUCCUGCAGGCAGGCCUGGUGGAAACCAGUGUUAUGCAGAGCCCCAAAUUCCAGAUCCUGAAGACAGGACAGGAAACAGAAUUGGAAUGUGGCCAGAAAAUGAAUCACAACUACAUGUACUGGUACCGGCAAGACCCUGGACAGGGGCUGAGACUGAUCCACUUCUCAGUUGGUGCUGGUGUCACUGACAAAGGAGAGGUCCCUGAGGGCUACAGGGUCUCCAGGCCAGAUACAGAGAGCUUCCCCCUCACACUGGAGUCAGCUGCACCCUCCCAGACAUCUGUGUACUUCUGUGCCAGCAGUUUAUCCACAGCGCUGCCCCACCACCUCCCCUCUGCACAAGAAGUCAGGGAGGCCCUGCACCUGGGGCUCAUGAGUCCAGGGCUGCUCAGCCAGGCAGGGAGCUGCCCCCAGAGCCUCAGUGAAGAUGCCUCCAGCUUUGCUGUCCAGUGUGAUGCAGCUCACAUGUUCUCUCUGUUCCAGCAUCACUGCUUCACAUCAGUCUGUUUCCUCUGUGUUGUGCUCACUGCUACAUGUACUUGA